AGGACGAACGCUGGCGGCGUGCCUAAAACAUGCAAGUCGAACGGUUCUAGCAAUAGGACAGUGGCGAACGGCGGAGUAAUACGUGAACAACGUGCCCUAAAGACCGGGAUAGUCAUUGGAAACGAUGGGUAAUACCGGAUGUGGUGGUUGGAUCUCCUGAUCUGACCAUUAAAUGGUUUUUCGCUUUAGGAGCGGUUCACGGCCUAUCAGGUAGUUGGUGGGGUAAUGGCCUACCAAGCCGACGACGGGUAGCGGGUCUGAGAGGAUGAUCCGCUCGAGUGGGACUGAGACACGGCCCACACACCUACGGGUGGCAGCAGUUGGGAAUCUUGCACAAUGGGGGGAACCCUGAUGCAGCGACGCCGCGUGGAGGAUGAAGGGUCUAGGCCUGUAAACUCCUUUUUUCGGGAAAGACUUAGGACGGUACCCGAAGAAUAAGCACCGGCUAACUACGCGCCAGCAGCCGC
rnacentral:rRNA from 1 species